rnacentral:rRNA from 1 species
GACGAACGCUGGCGGCGUGCUUAACACAUGCAAGUCGAACGGAAAGGCCCUGCUUUUGUGGGGUGCUCGAGUGGCGAACGGGUGAGUAACACGUGAGUAACCUGCCCUUGACUUUGGGAUAACUUCAGGAAACUGGGGCUAAUACCGGAUAGGAGCUCCUGCUGCAUGGUGGGGGUUGGAAAGUUUCGGCGGUUGGGGAUGGACUCGCGGCUUAUCAGCUUGUUGGUGGGGUAGUGGCUUACCAAGGCUUUGACGGGUAGCCGGCCUGAGAGGGUGACCGGCCGCAUUGGGACUGAGAUAGGGCCCAGACGCCUACGGGGGGCAGCAGUGGGGAAUGUUGCACAGUGGGGGGGGGCCUGAUGCAGCAGCGCCGCGGGCGGAAGGACGGCCUUCGGGUGAUAAACCGCUUUCGCCUGUGACGAAGCGUGAGUGACGGUAAUGGGUAAAGAAGCACCGGCUAACUACGUG